UCCUGGCUCAGAUUGAACGCUGGCGGCAUGCCUUACACAUGCAAGUCGAACGGCAGCGGGGACUUCGGUCCGCCGGCGAGUGGCGAACGGGUGAGUAAAGUAUCGGAACGUACCUUUCAGUGGGGGAUAACGUAGCGAAAGUUACGCUAAUACCGCAUAUUCUGUGAGCAGGAAAGCAGGGGAUCGCAAGACCUUGCGCUGAUUGAGCGGCCGAUAUCAGAUUAGCUAGUUGGUGAGGUAAAGGCUCACCAAGGCGACGAUCUGUAGCGGGUCUGAGAGGAUGAUCCGCCACACUGGAACUGAGACACGGUCCAGACUCCUACGGGAGGCAGCAGUGGGGAAUUUUGGACAAUGGGGGCGAAACCCUGAUCCAGCCAUGCCGCGUGAGUGAAGAAGGCCU
rnacentral:rRNA from 1 species